rnacentral:rRNA from 1 species
GCAACUCGCCUACAUGAAGUCGGAAUCGCUAGUAAUCGCGGAUCAGCAUGCCGCGGUGAAUACGUUCCCGGGCCUUGUACACACCGCCCGUCACACCAUGAGAGUUGGAAAUGCCCGAAGCCGGUGACCGAACCUUAGGGACGGAGCCGUCGAAGGUGGAGCCAAUGACUGGGGUGAAGUCGUAACAAGGUAUC